rnacentral:tRNA from 1 species
GGCCGAUUAGCUCAGUCAGUUGAGCGUCGCGCUAACAAUGCCAAGGUCGCAGGUUCAACACCCGCUCGGUCC